UGUUCAAAAAGUAAAAAGAAUAAAAACUGCUCAACAGUUUAAUUAUCACUAUUUAAUACAUAUAAAUAUAUAUUUCCCUGUAGUAGCCAUAACAUUUAUUUUCCUUAAUAGUUUUCAGUAGUUCUGGGAACUGUUUUUCGCAGAAAUGUCUGAUUAUUAUCACUAGCAAUUAAAUUUAUUUAUUAUAUUUUGCUGUUGCUGCAGGAGCUUCUCAUGCCAUUGACACGCUGUCUUGUACACUCUCACCAAAGACGAAUGGAGGCAUGUCGCUGGGCAAGGAGCAGUGGAAAUCUUAGUGAAAUCUGCACAACUUGAUUUCAGUUCAUGCUGUUCAGGGCAACGUGCUUAGAGGGGAUCCUUUACCUCCUCCUCUUCUCCCCUUGCCGAAGGAUGAAGUGAUCCAGAGUACAUCCUAAAAAACAUUUUUCUUUCUCCUUACUCUUUGGCUCUGCCUCCAGACCCCUCUACCGAUGCAAUCUGGCUAUGAUUCUGCAUGCCACUUUGUUUGACCCUGAUGACAUAAGUUGACGCAUGUACUUUUGAACCUUCCCAAGAAUGAAUAAUAUCCCUGCAAUAAAAUGAAAUCCUAGCAUUUUUAACCCGCCAAGCCCCUGUGAUUGUUGGGGCCAGGCAUGUCAAAUGGUGGCUCAGCCGAUGGACGCCUGAAAUGGAGGUGGAUAGAUUUCAGCCCCAAAACAAGCAAGCCAUUGAGAGUUGGCACUGGUCCACUUUUCUCCUGAUACCUGUGAUGAGUACGUUUGAAACACUGAAAGCUCUUUCAUGGGUAUUGGGAGGAGGGAGAGAGAACUUAUGAAGGUGCAACAGAAUAGAGAGACUUGUGGCUUCAGAUUUUAAAGGUAGCAAGUAGCCUAAGAAAACUCAGGGGCUGGGAGAGGCUCACUGGCUCUAAAGCUGUCAGCUGUCUGGGUUGCUUUGAUUCUCAUGGGUUUAGGUAUAACUUGAAAUAGGUCUUUCCUUCCCCUUUGUCCCGAGUUCCCAAAAUACUGCACUUCAGUUAAAGAUGGGCCUCAAGGUUACACCAAGUUCAAACUUCCGCCAAAUUUAAAGAGGUUAAACCCAGAACUUUAUUUGGGGAUUUCUGUGCUUUUUGAAGACUUCCAUACACCUGGCUGAGCCCAGGCCCUAUAAAUGAGAACUGAGACACAAAUGAACUGCCUCAUCAUUAUUAAUGUUAGAUCAUAAGCCUUAGCAACACCAUCCCAGCAGCUUUCCCAUUUGGUGCCCAGACAUGCCAAAAGCAGACCAGAAGUGUGACAUUAGCAGAGCUGCCUUCUCUAAGAGAAGCUGCCAAGCCUCUUCUUAAAGUCCUUAAACCCUGACAAGGCACUGUAAAAUACUGAAAUCAUCUGUGCUGAGUGAGGGUUGUGCUUCCAUCAGGGUGUGGGAGUUUGUGUUUGGUUGGAUUAGUUUGGUAACUCUGCAUGACUGAAAUAGAAGCUUCCAGUAUUUAGUUGGGCGUAUUAUUUGUUGGAUGUCAUGAAUCCUUUUUCCUCUAGACUUCUGGUAUUAUGUCACAUCUAUCAAUGGAGCCAAAGGGUUGCCUAAUCAGGAAAAAUUUGCAUCUUUAUAUAUAGAUACUGCAUUGAAAUGGCAGGAACAAACACAUGUAUUGGAAGGAAAUUAGAUCUCUGAUUAGGUCAUUGUCUUAAUAGUAAAAAAUCAGGUUUCACUUUUUUCAUUCUCUUAAAAUGAGAAGACUACCUUGAAUCUGUCUUCUGCACUUCAGUUUUGUUUUGUUUCUUCAAGAGAGGCGCUGAGGAGAACGGAUUGCCAUUAUUCUUGACAUUUUAAAUGGCCAUCCUUUUCCUCUUGGAUAUGGUACCCAGAUGGAUAGUUAGAAAGUUAAAGUGGCUCAGCUAAAGAUAAGGAUGCUGUGAACUUUGGUUUUACAACUCCUGCCUUGGCCUCUCAGCCCAGCUGAUUUAGUAGGAGUGAGCUUGCCCCACUCACAGAAGUGCAAGUAGGGGGGAAAGGGAGGAGAAAAAUAACAGUACUCCACAGACCUCCGCUUCAAAUGCACAUAAAAAGCUGCUUGACCGGGAUAUCGGGAGCAAUCCUGCUUCUGCAGCACUCCCUAAAGUGGGGAUCCAGUGGAGCUGCUCAUGGCAGGGAAGCUGGGUUUAGCCCAGUAGGAGCAGGAGCUGGUGUUGCCUGGUUUGAGAAGUGCAGGAGUUGGAAGGAUAAUAAAAGGAAAGCGUGGUGAACAGAUUGCUUGAGCAGAAUAUUUUAGCUUAAUAAAAAUAUAAAAUAAUAAAUCCACAGCCAACCCCCUCCCCUAAGCCUUCAGUCCCCUGUACGAGGCUGAUGAAAUUUAUACUAGAGAGAGAGACAUAACGAAAGAAAUUGUUUAUUUGUUUGUUUGCCUUUAUAAAACCCAUUUGGGAGGAACAUCAACGAAUAUACCAUACAUCAGUUAUCCGCCUUAUACCAGUUACACUGAUGCUGGAGACGUCCUUUGUUAGAAAUUAAUGUAUGUAAUAAAGUUUUACAUUUUUCAUA